rnacentral:rRNA from 1 species
GACGUAGGGCGCGAGCGUUGUCCGGAUUUAUUGGGCGUAAAGAGCUCGUAGGCGGUUUGUCGCGUCUGCUGUGAAAUCCCGAGGCUCAACCUCGGGCCUGCAGUGGGUACGGGCAGACUGGAGUGCGGUAGGGGAGACUGGAAUUCCUGGUGUAGCGGUGGAAUGCGCAGAUAUCAGGAGGAACACCGAUGGCGAAGGCAGGUCUCUGGGCCACUACUGACGCUGAGAAGCGAAAGCAUGGGGAGCGAACAGG